UAAUCUGUAUUGGGGAGAUCAUCACCUAGUUGUGGCAAAUCCAUACUUGACUGCUUAGAAUCACUUAUUAUCUCAAGCCCGACUAUAUCAUGAAGCUUAUUAUAAACAAUAUUGAAGUUCUAAAAAUGCAAUUUUAAUGGAUG
rfam:Populus trichocarpa isolate Nisqually-1 chromosome 14, whole genome shotgun sequence.